AAUCUUCCACAAUGGACGAGAGUCUGAUGUUGCAACGCCUCGUGAGCUAAGAUGGUUUUCGUAACGUAAAGCUCUGUUGGAAGGGAAGAACACGUACGGGAGUCACCACCCGUACCUUAACCGUACCUUAUCUUAAAGCCACGGCUACCUACGUGCCAGCAGCCUCGGUAAUACGUAGGUGGCAAGCGUUGUCCGGAAUUAUUGGGCGUAAAGCGCGAGCAGGCGGUCCUGUAAGUCUGAAGUGAAAGCCCACGGCUCAACCGUGGAGGGUCAUUGGAAACUGGAGGACUUGAGUACAGAAGAGGAAAGCGGAAUUCCACGUGUAGCGGUGAAAUGCGUAGAGAUGUGGAGGAACACCAGGGGCGAAGGCGGCUUUCUGGUCUGUAACUGACGCUGAGGCGCGAAAGCGUGGGGAGCAAACAG
rnacentral:rRNA from 1 species